rnacentral:rRNA from 1 species
UACGUAGGGUGCAAGCGUUAAUCGGAAUUACUGGGCGUAAAGCGUGCGCAGGCGGCUUUGCAAGACAGAUGUGAAAUCCCCGGGCUCAACCUGGGAACUGCAUUUGUGACUGCAGGGCUGGAGUACGGCAGAGGGGGAUGGAAUUCCGCGUGUAGCAGUGAAAUGCGUAGAUAUGCGGAGGAACACCGAUGGCGAAGGCAGUCCCCUGGGCAUGUACUGACGCUCAUGCACGAAAGCGUGGGGAGCAAACAGG